AAACGAGGCGUCACCCUUCGGGGUGGCUCCUAGUGGCGGACGGCUGAGUAACGCGUGAGCGACCUGCCCUAAUGUGGGGGAUAACUCCGAGAAAUCGGAGCUAAUACCGCAUGUGCCCCGCUCCAUGGACGGUGCGGGGGAAAGGUCCGGGGUAACCCGGUUCCGCUUUUGGAGGGGCUCGCGUCCUAUCAGGUAGUUGGUGAGGUAACGGCUCACCAAGCCAGAGACGGGUAGCUGGUGUGAGAGCAUGACCAGCCAGAGGGGGACUGAGACACGGCCCCCACUCCUACGGAAGGCAGCAGCAGGGAAUCUUGCACAAUGGGCGAAAGCCUGAUGCAGCGACGCCGCGUGAGGGAAGAAGGCUCUAGGGUCGUAAACCUCUUUUCUCAGGGAAGAGCAAGGACGGUACCUGAGGAAUAAGCCACGGCUAACUACGUGCCAGCAGCCGCGGUAAUACGUAGGUGGCGAGCGUUGUCCGGAACUAUUGGGCGUAAAGGGCUCGUAGGCGGUUCGGAAAGUCUCCUGUUAAAUCUCCCGGCUUAACUGGGAGCCGUCGGGGGAUACUUCCGGACUGGAGAUCAUCAGAGGCAAGCGGAAUUCCCGGUGUAGUGGUGAAAUGCGUAGAUAUCGGGAGGAACACCAGUGGCGAAAGCGGCUUGCUGGGGUGGUUCUACGCUGAGGGGCGAAAGCGUGGGGAGCAAACCGGAUUAGAUACCCGGGUAGUCCACGCCCUAAACGAUGGAUGCUGGGUUUGGGGGGUAUCGACCCCCUCCGAGCCGUAGCUAACGCGAUAAGCAUCCCGCCUGGGGACUACGGCCGCAAGGCUAAAACUCAAAGGAAUUGACGGGCGCCCGCACAAGCAGCGGAGCGUGUGGUUUAAUUCGAUGCAAAGCGAAGAACCUUACCUGGGCUUGACAUGCUGGUGGUACCAACUCGAAAGGGAAGGGACCUGAAAGGGAGCCAGCACAGGUGCUGCAUGGUUGUCGUCAGCUCGUGCCGUGAGGUGUUGGGUUAAGUCCCGCAACGAGCGCAACCCUCGUGGCUAGUUGUUUUCUCUAGCCAGACUGCCCGAAAGGGAGGAAGGGGGGGAUGAGGUCAAAUCAUCAUGGCUCUUACGUCCAGGGCUACACACACGCUACAAUGGUCGGUACAGACGGUCGCGAAGCCGCGAGGUGGAGCCAAUCCGACAAAGCCGGCCUCAGUUGGAAUUGCAGGCUGCAACCCGCCUGCAUGAACGCGGAGUUGCUAGUAACCGCAGGUCAGCAUACUGCGGUGAAUACGUUCCCGGGCGUUGUACACACCGCCCGUCACGUCAUGGAAGUUGGCAACACCUGAAGUCACUGGGCUAACCCCUUCGGGGGAGGCAGGUGCCGAGGGUGGGGCUGAUGACUGGGACGAAGUCGAAACAAGGUA
rnacentral:rRNA from 1 species